rnacentral:tRNA from 1 species
AAAUAAGUAAGCUAAAAUAAGCUUUUAGACUCAUACUCUAAAAAUAGAGACUCUCUCUCUCUCUUAUUUA